rnacentral:rRNA from 1 species
UACAGAGGUCCCAAGCGUUGUUCGGAUUUACUGGGCGUAAAGGGUGCGUAGGCGGUCGGGUAAGUCUGAUGUGAAAUCUCCGAGCUUAACUCGGAAAUGGCAUUGGAUACUAUUCGGCUGGAGAGUUGGAGGGGGGACUGGAAUACUUGGUGUAGCAGUGAAAUGCGUAGAUAUCAAGUGGAACACCAGUGGCGAAGGCGAGUCCCUGGACAACUUCUGACGCUGAGGCACGAAAGCUAGGGGAGCGAACAGG